rnacentral:rRNA from 1 species
UGGCUACCACAUCCAAGGAUGGCAGCAGGCGCGCAAAUUACCCACUCCCAGCUUGGGGAGGUAGUGACGAAAAAUAACAAUGCGGGACUCUAAGAGGCCCCGUAAUUGGAAUGAGUACACCUUAAAUCGUUUAACGAGUAUCAAUUGGAGGGCAAGUCUGGUGCCAGCAGCCGCGGUAAUUCCAGCUCCAAUAGCGUAUAUUAAAGUUGCUGCAGUUAAAAAGCUCGUAGUUGGAUCUGGGGCUUGAGGUCGCUGUCUAUCGUUUCGGCGAUGACGGUGAUGCUCAGCUCUGCUUGCCGGUGACUGUUGCGGUGUUCUUCACUGAGCGCUGUAGCAGCACGGCACGUUUACUUUGAAAAAAUUAGAGUGCUCAAAGCGUGCUUGUCGCUUGAAUAAUGUUGCAUGGAAUAAUGGAAUGACCUCGGUUCUAUUUUGUUGGUUUUCGGAGCUUGAGGUAAUGAUUAAGAGGGACGAACGGGGGCAUUCGUAUUGCGGUGUUAGAGGUGAAAUUCUUGGAUCGCCGCAAGACGGACUACUGCGAAAGCAUUUGCCAAGAACGCUUUCAUUAAUUAAGAACGAAAGUCAGAGGUUCGAAGACGAUCAGACACCGUCCUAGUUCUGACCAUAAACGAUGCCGACCAGCGAUCCGUAGUGGUUGCUUUAUGGACCCUACGGGCAGCCUCCGGGAAACCAAAGUAUUUGGGUUCCGGGGGAAGUAUGGUUGCAAAGCUGAAACUUAAAGGAAUUGACGGAAGGGCACACCAGGAGUGGAGCCUGCGGCUUAAUUUGACCCAACACGGGAAAACUCACCCGGUCCGGACACCGUAAGGAUUGACAGACUGAUAGCUCUUUCUUGAUUCGGUGGAUGGUGGUGCAUGGCCGUUCUUAGUUGGUGGAGUGAUUUGUCUGGUUAAUUCCGAUAACGAACGAGACUCUAGCCUGCUAAGUAGUGUUGCUAUUGUUAUAUGGUUGACACUUCUUAGAGGGGCAAGUGGCAUUUAGCCACGCGAAAUUGAGCAAUAACAGGUCUGUGAUGCCCUUAGAUGUCCGGGGCCGCACGCGCGCUACACUGGAGAAGUCAGCGUGUGUUAUCCAAGUCCGAAAGGACUGGGUAAUCCGUUGAACCUUCUUCGUGCUUGGGACUGUGGCUUGGAACUAUUCCACAUGAACGAGGAAUUCCUAGUAAUUGCAAGUCAUAAGCUUGCGUUGAUUACGUCCCUGCCCUUUGUACACACCGCCCGUCGCUACUACCGAUUGAAUGGUUUAGCAAGGUCCUCGGAUCGUGGCCGUAGGGGCACGCAAGUGUUUCUGCGGUUUGCGAGAAGACGACCAAACUUGAUCAUUUAGAGGAAGUAAAAGUCGUAACAAGGUU